rnacentral:rRNA from 1 species
CCUACGGGAGGCUGCAGUGGGGAAUAUUGCACAAUGGGGGAACCCUGAUCCAGCGACGCCGCGUGAGUGAAGAAGGAUUUCGUUAUGUAAAGCCCUAUUAGCCGGGAAGAAAACGACGGUACCUGACGAAGAAGCCCCGGGGUCCUACGUGCCAGCAGCCGCGGAAAUACGUAGGGGGCAAGCGUUAUCCGGGUUUACUGGGUGGAAAGGGAGCGUCGACGGUGCAGCAAGUCUGCUGUGAAAGGUCGGGGCCCAACCCCGGGACUGCCUGGGAAACUGUUGAACUGGAGUACAGGAGAGGUAAGCGGCACUCCUAGUGUAGCGGUGACAUGCGUAGAUAUUAGGAGGAACACCAGUGGCGCAGGCGGCUUACUGGACUGUAACUGACGUUGAGGCUCGAAAGCGUGGGGAGCAAACAGGAUUAGAUACCCCAGUAGUC